GGCACGGGAGGAAAGGGCAACAGCAAUACCAAGAAAAGCCUGAGCCUGGCAGCCAGAGGCCCGGCACACCUGGGCCCCGUUCUCGGCGGAGCACACCCGAGGGACAGUGGCCCCAGAGUGCUCAAAAGCCAACAGGAAACUCUUUGAGACUGAAGGGUGCAGCUUCCUGGAAACAGCCUGUCGCUGUACCUAAUCUACUGUCUGUUUUUAGGACGUCAUGGUCAUCUUCAAACUGAAGGACCCCGGCCACCAGGGACCCAUGGAGAUAGCCACCCGCCAAGAAGAGGUCACCCUGGUGGACUUCCUGCCUUUGCCUGCCUGCCCUAACCAGGCAGCUCUGUGGUUGUCUGCCUUGUCUUGUAAUUCCGAAUGAUUCUUCACUGAAGACUGUUCUCACUAACAAAGCAAGGGCACAGGGGUACACCCAUGUAAUCCCAGCACUCAGGGAGUCGAGACAGGAGGAGUGUGAAUUUGAGAGGCAGAUGGGCAGCGUUGCCCUUGAUCUGUGGAGUGGGCAGCCUACUUGUUUGUUCCGGGACCGCAUGCCAGGACCACCUUCCUAGAAGUCAUCAGUGCCAUAGGCCACAUGGUGACAGAGGUACUGGGGUCAGCUAGGACAGUUUUACACGUAGAAUGUUUAUGGAGGCCCAGCGUCAGAAGAUGUUGACAUCGGAGUCAGCUCUGCCCAAAGCAGACUAAGGCGGAGACCAUGCCGACCCAUCCACCCUAUCAUGGUUUUAAAACCUCCUGCCUGGGAACACAGCAGCUUUGUACUUGAAACCCAGCUCUACUUUCUCUGGAAGCUAGGGGAAUCUUCAACGGAGUAGGACUGCCUUUUCCGCCCACUGAUCAGCGUCAUAAAGCCCUGAAAGUCUGAGACAUUUUCUUGAGUCAUGCAGGUCCAGGGGUGUCUGGGAAGAGUUGUGGGGAAACACAGUCUCUCUGGCCACCUCCGGAUGAGCAUGCUCAGCACACUGCAGAGAGACCCAGCAUUGCUUGGCCAAGUAGACUGGAUCACAGUAUUUCAAGAUCCAGAUUUCCAACCGGCAGCAGGAUGGUUCCCUGCUUUGGCGGUGAGGAGGCCAACUGCAGCAAGGCUCCCUGGGCUCCCCUUAGCCUGUGCUGCCUGGAUGGAAGCAGACCCUGCAUGUCACCUGAACCACCGUGGGCCCAGCUCCACGUGUCCCCAGCCCCAGGCCCUGGGUAUCCCAGCUGGAGCGGGCUGGAGGCUCCUGUUUGCACGCACCCCCCAGCCAGUUCUAAGGACAUCAGAAAUAAUGAAAGGAGGUAAGGCAGGGAGGGACCUAAACUAAAGGCCUCUGAGGAUGAAAGCCGGAAUCCAGUCUUUGCACUGGAAAAACCUGUCGUUUCUUGGGUAGAGCAAAGAGAACAGA